rnacentral:piRNA from 1 species
UUCGGAGUAUGGGCCAGGACCUGC